GCUUGCUUCCAAUUCCUAAACAAGUUUAUGGCCGAACAACACGUCAAUUUAAGGACAUAAAUAUAGCUACAAUAGAAGGAUCAUCAGCAGACGUAGACACACAUUUGUUGGAGGAAAUACAACAACUCAAGGAGCAUGCAAGAAAACAAGACAAAGUUAUUGAUGAACUCAUAAACAAGAAAAGACACAAUGAGAAUGAAGAAGUGAUAAAGGAACUGACUGCUCAUGGUGAUUUUCAGACUGGCCAUGCUAACCUUCAGAAUCAUGUAGUGCAUUCCAAUAGAAAGGUAGUUUUGUUGUUAUCAGGUUUUCACAGAAUUGUCUCUAUUGACCUUAAUGUUAUUUGAAAUAUGUAGAGAGUUCGAUGCACUGAACCAGACCAUGGAGAUGCAAUCUGUCAACAAAAUGUUGCACUAAACAUCCGUACAUGUGUAUCCGAAUACAGCGACAAUGUUGAUCCAAUUAUGUCCCACAAAAAGGUUAUCAUGAUGUUCCUAUCAUUUCACAACAUUCUACUCAUAGCAGAUUAUAUGUUGAUAUUUGGGUUUACUAUUUUAAGUUUGCAUGAUUUUUUUGUUGUAUUUAGCGUCAAGGUGAUGCAAAUCGCAAGCAAUUAUCACAUCAAGCAGAAGAGCCACUCUCGCCACAAUGCUCUAGUAUUGGUUUUGGACAAAAAGAGGUUGAUGAAUGCACACAAAAUUCAAUUGAUCAUAGAAUAAGAAGAAAAACAAAGAACCAACAAGGAGUACUCAAAGAGAACCGGAUCAUGGCACAGAAAAUUGCUCAGGAUAAAGCUAUGGGCCAUAAUAAUUCAAAAUUUACACAACCUCGUCCAAUUAAGGAUGGAACCACAGUGAUACUUAAGACAGCAAGCCGUCCAAAUAAGGCAAUUGUGGCCUAUGCAACCAUUCUGAGCUCUAGUCCAAAAGAAAGUGUUGGUGGAGUUGAGAUAGGAAAACAAUUCUACAAAGUCCGAAUCAACCAUCCUGUUUUACAAGAUGAGCCUUUGGUUAGGCCCAUGCCUGGCUACGACAAAAUUGGUGAUGCCCAUGCAAAAGGAGUAGCAAUUGCUUGGCCUUGGCUUUGUGUUCAAAUGAUCAAUGGAUGAAUUUGUAGAUUUGGAUGCGCAUGAGACAUGACCAAGAAACAUGAAUUCCAAGAAUAUUUCUUAUUUGUAGUUACAUUUCAUUUCCACCUUUACAGACUUGUACUAUCUACCACUUGCUACAUUUAUUCCCUAGAAUCAUAUCAUUGUGUAAAUAUAUAAUUGUAUUUUGUGAACAAGUACUAUGUUUUUACCUUCCUCCAAUCAAUGCAAGUGAUUACUCGAAGUUGUGAUUUU